CAAGAAAAGGUCAGGAUAGCUCAGUGG
rnacentral:tRNA from 2 species